rnacentral:rRNA from 1 species
UACGUAGGGUGCGAGCGUUAAUCGGAAUUACUGGGCGUAAAGCGUGCGCAGGCGGUUCGUUGUGUCGGUGGUGAAAGCCCCGGGCUUAAACCUGGGAAUGGCCAUGGAAACUGGCGAACUGGAGUGUGGCAGAGGGGGGGUGGAAUUCCGCGUGGUAAGCAGUGAAAUGCGUAGAGAUGCGGAGGAACACCGAUGGCGAAGGGCAGCCCCCUGGGCUAGCACUGACGCUCAGGCACGAAAGCGUGGGGGAGCAAACAGG